rnacentral:misc_RNA from 1 species
GAUGAAGAACGUAGCGAAAUGCGAUAAGUAAUGUGAAUUGCAGAAUUCCGUGAAUCAUCGAAUCUUUGAACGCACAUUGCGCCCGCCAGUAUUCUGACGGGCAUGCCUGUUCGAGCGUCAUUUCAACCAUCAAGCCCCCGGCUUGUGUUGGGGACCUGCGGCUGCCGCAGGCCCUGAAAUCCAGUGGCGGGCUCGCCGUAGCACCGAGCGUAAUAGCACACUUCUCGCUCCGGUAGCAGCGGCGGGCGCUUGCCGUAAAACCCCCCCUAAAAUCUCAAGGUUGACCUCGGAUCAGGUAGGAAUACCCGCUGAACUUAAGCAUAUCAAUAAGCGGAGGA